rnacentral:rRNA from 1 species
UACGAAGGGGGCUAGCGUUGCUCGGAAUCACUGGGCGUAAAGGGUGCGUAGGCGGGUCUUUAAGUCAGGGGGGAAAUCCUGGAGCUCAACUCCAGAACUGCCUUUGAUACUGAGGAUCUUGAGUUCGGGAGAGGUGAGUGGAGCUGCGAGUGUAGAGGUGAAAUUCGUAGAUAUUCGCAAGAACACCAGUGGCGAAGGCGGCUCACUGGCCCGAUACUGACGCUGAGGCACGAAAGCGUGGGGAGCAAACAGG